rnacentral:rRNA from 1 species
UACGUAGGGGGCAAGCGUUGUCCGGAAUCAUUGGGCGUAAAGCGCGUGUAGGCGGCUCGAUAAGUCUGCUGUGAAAGUUCAGGGCUCAACCCUGAAAUGCCGGUGGAAACUGUCGAGCUAGAGUCCGGAAGAGGCGAGUGGAAUUCCUGGUGUAGCGGUGAAAUGCGCAGAUAUCAGGAGGAGCACCAAUGGCGAAAGCGACUUCCUGGUCCAGCAUCGACGUUCAGGCACGAAAGCGUGGGGAGCAAACAGG